rnacentral:rRNA from 1 species
AGAUAUGAUUUCGGUUAUAUCUUAGUGGCGAACGGGUGAGUAACGCGUGAGCAACCUGACCUUCAGAGGGGAUAACACUUAGGAAACAGGUGCUAAUACCGCAUAAGACCACGACCCGACAUCGGGAUGCGGUCAAAGGAGCAAUCCGCUGAGGGAGGGGCUCGCGUCCCAUUAGAUAGAUGGCGGGGUAACGGCCCACCAUGUCGACGAUGGGUAGCCGAGCUGAGAGGCUGAUCGGCCACACUGGAACUGAGACACGGUCCAGACUCCUACGGGAGGCAGCAGUGGGGAAUAUUGGGCAAUGGGCGCAAGCCUGACCCGGCAACGCCGCGUGAGGGAAGAAGGCCUUCGGGUUGUAAACCUCUGUCCUUGGUGACGAAACAAAUGACGGUAGCCAAGGAGGAAGCCCCAGCUAACUACGUG